rnacentral:rRNA from 1 species
AAAACCAGCACCUCAAGUGGUCAGGAUGAUUAUUGGGCCUAAAGCAUCCGUAGCCGGCUCAGUAAGUUUUCGGUUAAAUCUGUACGCUCAACGUACAGGCCGCCGGGAAUACUGCAGAGCUAGGGAGUGGGAGAGGUAGACGGUACUCGGGAGGAAGUGGUAAAAUGCUUUGAUCUUUCGAUGACCACCUGUGGCGAAGGCGGUCUACCAGAACACGUCCGACGGUGAGGGAUGAAAGCUGGGGGAGCAAACCGGAUUAGAUACCCGGGUAGUCCCAGCUGUAAACUAUGCAAACUCAGUGAUGCAUUGGCUUGUGGCCAAUGCAGUGUUGCGGGGAAGCCGUUAAGUUUGCCGCCUGGGAAGUACGUACGCAAGUAUGAAACUUAAAGGAAUUGGCGGGGGAGCACCACAAGGGGUGAAGCCUGCGGUUCAAUUGGAGUCAACGCCGGGAAUCACUAGUGCGGCCGCCUGCAGGUCGACCAUAUGGGAGAGCUCCCAACGCGUUGAUGCAUAGCUUGAGAGGG